rnacentral:lncRNA from 1 species
CUGCACUCUGCAUUCUGCAGUCGUGUACAGUGCCACUGUCAAAUCGCAGCAGUUAGUUGAAUCAUGAGGUUCUGACUUCUCAGAGAAAGAGUCGCUAAUUUUAGACCUUUUUAUUUUUUGAGGUUUUGAAUUUUGAUGUGGGCUUAAUUAGCUGGAUUGCCACUUGUGAGGCAUUUCUUAGAAUGUGAUGGGUUUAGUUGGUUCGGGUUGGCGGUUCGUGAGCUUGCUAUUAUUCUUGACGAAUUUUGAUGCUGAAAGACUUGGAAACCAUGCUGUCGACCACGUCGAGAAGCUGAGUAACAUUCUGCUUUUACAAUGGCACCUCUUAAUAAAAGGAACUUAAGCCAUCCAAUCUAGGGCUUCCAUCAAAUCGUGCAGGCUGCAUGGAAGUCGCAAUUGCUGUGAACAUCAUGAACACAUACAUUAUUUGAAGUUUUAACAUUUUGGGAUUU